CGGGCAGGGCAGGGCAGGGCAGGGGCAGCCCGGGCAAGUGACCUGGCCGGGGAGGGACAGCGCUGAGAAGCGUCCCCCGAGCCGUCCCCGCGCUCUGCCUGCCUGUCAGGGUAGUUUGGAAAUGCUGUUGGUGACACAGGGACACGGGCAAACAAACAGUCACAUCGCAUCUCCCCUGACGCGUUAAGUGGGAACUGAGAGCACGAACAGGCUGUGCUACCUUCCCCGCAUUCCCAGCUCGGUGGAGACGAGGACAUGCAAGACGGUGCCCCGGCUGGUGCGCUGCUCCUCAGCCUCGGAACAGCCCUUUCAUGGGAAGAGACCACCGAUUGCUGCUAAAGGCACUGCCAGGAUCUAAUUAAUGUCACCGACCCAUCUGCCCAGGGAAACCAUUAGAAAAGCCCUCCACCGCUGCAAAUAGUAAUGACUAUUUCCUUUUCUUCUCACUGCGAUUCUGAGAGAGAUUUGAGAAUCCAAGUGUACGGGAGUAGCAGGAAUACAACAAUUGACAAAAUUGAACACCGGGAAUUCACUCCUUUUGUAAUCUAUUUACAGAGAAAUCCUGUGGAGGGUGACAUUUUCAUGUAAGUGAAUGAAUAACAGAUACAUGUAAAGAAAGGACAUCAAGAAAAAUAUCAAGUCUUGCACAAAAUAUACAUCUGUGAUCCCGCUGCCAAAUUAUCCAAAAAUACCCCAAAGCCGUUUAAAAAGACAA